UUUCCCUCCCCAAGCACUGGGCUUCAAGAGCUCUGUUGCUGCCUACAAAAACACUGUUUCUCUAUGCAGCAAGGCUCCAAGCCAGGAACUUGGCAAGGAGAGAAGGGACUUUUCUCUCCCCAAGCAGCAACAGAGGGAGCCUGGUGCUUGGGGAGAUAAAAAUCUUCCUCCCUCUCCCUCUCCCUCUCCCUCUCCCGAGUUCCCUCUGGCUCAGCAGCACUCCAUUCCUCAGGCUGCCACAAGAGGAUGUGAAGGAGGAGGUGGUGGAAGAGGGGGAGUCAGACGAAGUGGCAGAGGAAGCCAUGAGCACAGCGGAAGCCCACCCUCCAUCCGCCACCUCGGAGCAGCUGGUGGGAGCCUCCGAGCUCCUCAAAGCCAGUAUUGCACCACCUGACAUCCAUCGGGGAGUAGCAGCCUGUAAUAAAAGGACCAAGGAAUUGACAUCUCUGGCCCAUCUGCUGUUCAGAUAUCAGCCAGCAAGCCAACACCUUAAAUCAAGAAAUAGCUUCCUAAGAUCUACAGAGACACUCGCAGGAACACCUCAGCAAGUGAGAGUCCAAAAGUGGCAGUCUAAAACGUGAAACUUAUUCCAUGGCUGAUACCAGAUGAGAAACUCCCUCCUGGGCACACAGAAGACUGGGUGAUUUGGAAGGCAAUGAAUAGACUGUGCUCUGGCACAAAGCUAAUCUUAAGAAAUGGGGCUACAAAGAGGAAUCCACAAUGUGCGAGUAUGGAGAAGAGACCAUUUGCUACAGUGCGGCCUGAGCCCUGACACAUGCAUGGUGGAGGACCUUCUCGUAGCGACACAGGAGGCACUCUGAAUGGCCAUCUUCUGGUCAAGGGAAAUCUAGUAUAAUGUAAAAUUUUUGACUUUGUGUGGUUUUGAAAUACAUUAUAGCUGUGCCCUCAGUUUGUUUCUGACACAAUAAAUAAAUAACUAGUUAAAAAGACAGAUUAAACCUGGUUAAAGUAGUUUGAAAUGAGGAUAUAUUAAAACUAGUUAGGCUUUUGUGAAUAGCUACAAAUAAGAUUAGGAGUUCUGAAAACAAAUUAACUACUUGUAUUAUAAACUACUAGUUGUGCCCGGCCACGUGUUUGCUGUGGCAUUGUCUGGUGGUGUUGGUGAGAAAUUGUUGAGGUAGUGGUGGUAUUGAAUGUCUGUUGUUUGGUUGUCUUUAUGUUUAGUAUGCACACUGAAGUGGAUUAUAUGGCAGUGUGGACUCAAGAUAAUCCAGUUCAAAGCAGAUAAUAUAAGAUUCUAAAUGGGUUAUAUAGCUGUGUGGAAGGGCCUUGAGUCUACACUGCCAUAUAACCCAGUUCAAAUCUGAUAAUCUGUGGAAGAGGCCUAAGUGAGGCCUAACUGUGCCUGUCCCCUGGGUUGAGGAGGUUGCUAGGAGACCAAGUGGGCGGAGCUUAGCAUUCAAACUGGCAGCAAUUGGAUAAAAACAAUUAUUCAUCUCCCUGUAAUUAGGACUUUAUUUUUCUUUUCUUUUUGUUGUAUCAACCUAGAGCCGUGGAUGAUGGGUUGUGUUGUCAAAUUUCGAGGUUGGGGGGCCUGUAGUUUUGUUGUUUUGUCCGCUGCCCUGAUGCCAUCACUCUUUUAUAUAUAUAGAUCUAAUACUGCUAGCAACUCUUUUCUGUAGCUAUCUGAUAUGUUUAGCAGCUGCCACAUACUGUCUGAGAUCUGCUUUGAAUUAUCCAUAUUUCUUGUUGAAAUAAUAUAAUUUGAGUCCUACAGAAUCAAACAAAAUAAAGAGUUCACAAAGCAAACAGCAAGUCUAGGGGAGUAGCAACAGAGAGGAGUCAAGCCUGAGUCAAUAGAUUAACAAGUGUAUUGUCUAGAGGAGCAGGGAAACAGAGCCACUAGUAAAAUGCCCAAAUGCUGAAAAAAGAAAAACUUUCUAAUGAUUCAUAAUGCAAAGUAAGAAAAUAUGCCAAAAUCAAAGAAGGGGUCCAGUAACAGGAAGGUAGGAAUUCUGGAACAGGAUCCUGCCAACAAAGACAGAAGUUAAUGUCAGCAACCCAUUUUCUCAGAAGUAUGAGUGUAUAUACAGUUCUCCAAGGGUUUUCAAUUCGCACCAAUUACAGAGACUCUGUUAAGUACAGCCUUGCCAAAUCCUUGAGCUUUAUUACAGUUGAGUUCUCAUGUACACAAAAUAGGGUUUCUAUAACACUAAGUAAAACCAUUUUUGUUCCUGGGUUAGAAAUGUCAUUUUCUCAUUGGUUCUAUAAUAAAAAAUAUGGAGAAAGUUUAUUAAAAUGCAACAACGUAGUUGUUGCAAGAUAUGCUGCAGCACAUUUUGCUAUAGUUUUUCAAUGAAUAUCUCAUAGAGUCUUGACCAAUUCAACGUAGUUUGUGGCAGCCACAAAAAUUAAUUUUCUGAAGUAUAACACCUACAUUCAAAGUAAGUAUCACACAAUUUCACAGGAAUAACAUUUUAAACACGGAACAGAUUUUUUUUUCAAAUUUUGUUACAUAGUGUAAUUUGCAGAUUUUUCACUUCUUCAUACCCUCUGGGUGGUUUUCAAAGUGUGCUUCCUGGAGCCGCCAAGGGCUCCACUAAGCAUAAUGAGGGGCUCUGUGCUUCCCUCCUCUCCCUCCCACUCCCAGCUUUCCAUUCUCUUUCCCACUCAUUCCCUUCCCCUAACCUCCCUUGCUCCCAAAAGCCUCCCCCCUGCCUCCCUUUCCGCAAAAGCCUUUUUUUCUUGACCUUAAUCACAGAUCAUUUUCCUGUCACCUUCCUUGCUUCUAAAACCCUAUUUCCCUCUCACCACUCAGGAGGUGCUUUGAAUGUGCUUUUCCUGCAUGACAGAAGGGGGUUAGACUGGAUGGCCCCUGGGGUUUCUGCUAAUAUUAUUGUUAAUAUUACAAAGGCUGGAUGGCCAUCUGUUGGGGAGCUUUGUUUGUUCUUUUCUUGCACGGCAGAAGAGGUUGGACUUGAUGACCCCUGGGGAUGCUCCUAUUAUUAAUGGACAUUCUCACUUGAUAUCGACAAUAAGCCUGGAACUAAUGACUGUUACUGAGGAUAGAGGCAAAAUUCCGAUAUUUCCGAUAUUUCUACCCCGCCCUUCUGCCCGAGGGGACUCAGGGCGGCUUACACAACUGGCAGGAUCACUACCAGUACAUCACAAUACAAUAAAAUAUAAAACAGUUAAAAUAGUUAAAUAACAUAGUAAAAUACAAUAUAUAAAAGAUUUAACACAGUGCAACACCGAAUAUAUAUGCCAAUCAUCCAUCAGACCUUGUGCAAAAGCCUUAAUCCAAUCCAUGUCAACACUAACUGAGAUAAUUCAUUAAACGCUUGCACGCAUAGCCAGGUCUUCAACCUCUUUCUAAAUCCUAGAAGGGAUGGAGCCUGAUGGAUGUCACUAGGGAGGGAGUUCCAUAGCCAAGGAGCCACCACUGAGAAGGCCCUGUCUCUCGUCCCCACCAGCCGCGCUUGUGAGGCAAGUGGGAUCGAGAGCGGGGCCUCCCAGAUGAUCUUAAGGUUCUUGUGGGCUCAUAGGAGGAGAUGCGUUCGAACAGGUAAGUUGGACCAGAACCGUUUAGGGCUUUGUAGGUCAAAACCAGCACUUUAAAUUGGGCUCGGUAGCAUAUCGGCAGCCAGUGGAGCUGGUUUAGCAAGGGGGUUGUACGCUCCCUGUAAGCCGCCUCAGUUAUUAAUCUGGCUGUUGCCCGUUGUACUAAUUGGAGCUUCCGGGCCAUCUUCAAAGGCAGCCCCAUGUAGAGUGCGUUGCAGUAAUCCAAACGGGAUGUAACCAGAGUGUGGACCACCGAGGCCAAGUCAGACCUCCUAAGUAACGGGCGCAGCUGGCGCACACGUCUGAAUUGUGCGAAGGCUCCCCUGGCCACCGCCGAGAUCUGGGUCUACAGGCUCAGUGAUGAGUCCAGGAGAACCCCCAGACUGUGAACCUGUGUCUUCAGGGGGAGUGCGACCUUGUCCAACACAGGCUGUAACCCUAUACCCUGUUCAGCCCUGUGACUGACCAGGAGGACCUCUGUCUUGUCUGGAUUCAAUUUCAAUUUGUUCGCCCUCAGCUUCCACAGUACUUACUAUUGCUUAAGGUUUUUGGAAAUUGAAGUUCAAAGCAACUAGAGGACCAAAAGUUUAUCUGCCAUUUAAUGAAUCAUAAGUCCUUUCAGAACUUUUGAGCACGGACACCGGUGAGUGAUCAUGGGAACUAUAAACCACAAAAAUCUGUGUUGGACGACCCCGUCCAACACAGGCUGUAACCCUAUACCCUGUUCAGCCCUGUGACUGACCAGGAGGACCUCUGUCUUGUCUGGAUUCAAUUUCAAUUUGUUCGCCCUCAGCUUCCACAGUACUUACUAUUGCUUAAGGUUUUUGGAAAUUGAAGUUCAAAGCAACUAGAGGACCAAAAGUUUAUCUGCCAUUUAAUGAAUCAUAAGUCCUUUCAGAACUUUUGAGCACGGACACCGGUGAGUGAUCAUGGGAACUAUAAACCACAAAAAUCUGGAGAGUCACAACUGCCCACCCCUGACCUGGAAAAAUUGAAUAAGAUUCAGACCAUCAACCACUAGACCACUAUUUUCUAUUAUUCUUAGACUGCUGCUGUUUUUAUUACUCUUUCAUUUUAAAUUCACCUUUUCAACUCACAAGGGAUUGUGAAGCCUGAUAGAUUGUUUAAACCAAUAUACUCAGACUUGCCGUUAACAUCUGGGUCAGAGCCCGGCAAUCUUACAACUUGUAUUUCUCCAUCUACAAGUGAGAGUAUGACUCAUGGCAGUUGUUCAUAGGUAGAAUUAUGAAAGGAGGAAUCUAUCGUGUUCAUACAAAUGUUUGUCUGCUGUUUUGUGAAUAAAGCCUAAGCAAGUCUUUAUGUAAAUAGUA